GACGGAGGAUGCAAGCGUUAUCCGGAAUGAUUGGGCGUAAAGCGUCCGCAGGUGGCAGUUCAAGUCUGCUGUCAAAGACCGGGGCUUAACUUCGGAAAGGCAGUGGAAACUGAACAGCUAGAGUAUGGUAGGGGCAGAGGGAAUUCCUGGUGUAGCGGUGAAAUGCGUAGAGAUCAGGAAGAACACCGGUGGCGAAGGCGGCGCUCUGGACCGAGACUGACGCUGAGGCACGAAGGUCAGGGGAGCAAACGGG
rnacentral:rRNA from 1 species